AUUGAACGCUAGCGGCAGGCUUUACACAUGCAAGUCGAACGAGAGGCGGACGGGUGAGUAAUAUAUCUGAACGUGCCCGGUAGAGGGGGAUCACUACUGGAAAGGGUGGCUAAUACCGCAUACAAUCCGAGCGGCCCAUAUCGGAUUCGCUAGUGGGUGGGGUAAAGGCUCACCUAGGCAACGAUCCGUAGCUGGUCUGAGAGGACGACCAGCCACACUGGGACGGAGACACGGCCCAUACUCCUACGGGAGGCAGCAGUGGGGAAUUUUGGACAAUGGGGGAAACCCUGAUCCAGCCAUCCCGCGUGUAUGAGAAGGCCUUCGGGUUGUAAAGUACUUUUGGCGGAGAAGCGGUAUCUGCAGAAGAAGCACCGGCUAACUACGUGCCAGCAGCCGCGGUAAUUC
rnacentral:rRNA from 1 species